rnacentral:rRNA from 1 species
GAGUUUGAUCGUGGCUCAGAUUGAACGCUGGCGGCAUGCCUUACACAUGCAAGUCGAACGGCAGCACGGGAGCUUGCUCCUGGUGGCGAGUGGCGAACGGGUGAGUAAUGCAUCGGAACGUAUCCUGGAGUGGGGGAUAACGUAGCGAAAGUUACGCUAAUACCGCAUAUUCUGUGAGCAGGAAAGCGGGGGACCUUCGGGCCUCGCGCUCUUGGAGCGGCCGAUGUCGGAUUAGCUAGUUGGUGAGGUAAAGGCUCACCAAGGCGACGAUCCGUAGCAGGUCUGAGAGGAUGAUCUGCCACACUGGAACUGAGACACGGUCCAGACUCCUACGGGAGGCAGCAGUGGGGAAUUUUGGACAAUGGGGGCAACCCUGAUCCAGCCAUGCCGCGUGAGUGAAGAAGGCCUCGGGUUGUAAGCUCUUCGCGAGGGAAGAAUUGCACCGGACAAUACCUGGUGUAGAUGACGGUACCUUGAUAAGAA